rnacentral:lncRNA from 1 species
AAAUUUAUCCUUGAUAUUCGGAACGAUUACGCCUGAAGACGAGACGAUAGUCCUGCAUCGUCACUAAAAUUCUCUGCAAUUGUCCUGCAUUGCCGUUAUAUUCUGUGAUAGCAUCGGGACAAAAAAAUAAAAGUACUGUACCACUUAGCAAAGCUUAUCGCAUUAUGCAGUAACGGGUACUCUAGACACGCGUGCCUGUCCGCUUCUCACGUAAUAACGUCGGAAAGGCGGCAAUCGAUGCAAAUAAAAUAUUCGUGGGCAGUAUUCGCGCCGCUUUUCCAGGAAGCAACCUGAACGAGCGGCGUCAGUACUAUAGGAAGCACUGAUAAAGCAUGUACCGGCGCUGUUUCACGGUCCCCGACGUGGUCGCCACGAGAGAGACACCGGUUGUGCGUUGCGUGCGACGCCAGGCGUCGGUCUAGGCGUCGUGGCGCCUCGACUUACCCUCCCCGUCUGUCAGUCGCCACGUAGGGUUAAACAGAAGCUCGAAGGUAGACUGACCUCGCAGACGUAGAUGUCCUUGGCCUCGGAAAAAGCCAAAAUUAGAAAUGGCACUUAGUAACGCGGAGAAAGAGAUUGGAGAACGUUCAUACAGAAAGGGAAGUGAUGGGAAGUGGCAGAGGUCUGCUGUACAGUUGUCUGGAACGGAAAUGGGAUAAUGCAAUUGUCCCUCCUAUCAGCGGGGGGAUUACUCAGUUCUCUACAAAUACACUCAGGGAUACAGGAAUUUUAAGCAUGCGAACAGUACACUUGCGCAUGGCUCGCCUUUCAUAGCCUCGGCUGUUACUUAUUGUUAGAGUUAAUACUAAUCUAAUGCGUCGAAAAAGAUAUUGAGAAAAUCAUCGAAAUUCCAUGUCGAAACCAUUAUGUUAAAAAAUUCCAAAAUAUAAAUUGACCGAGAAGAAAGAAUUAUAAAGUUUUAUGUUAGUGUGAUGUUAGGUCAAUUUCCAAAAUACGUAAUUCCAAAGACGUCAUUGCUCUGGAAACGAAUUUUCAGCGAGUUCUCUGAUUGCGAGAUGUAUGAUAAAGCUUUAUCGAUGACCUGUGUGUGUCACAUAAUUUCCUGGGAAUGACCAGCGCGAUGAAUCAUUGUGCUUGAAUCGAGAAAUAUCACGCAAGAGCGAUAAUAGACGAGAAAAUUGUCAUUGUUAUCUCAAUAAAAAAUAUUUAAAACAACAGGCCAGGAAAUUUCUAUCGAAUAAUCAUAUCGUUCAAUGUUAUUUUGCUAAAAAAUUGUGUGUAAACAUUUACUUUUAUCAGAUAAUUAUUCAGAAUCGA